UAGCGUAGGGGGCAAGGCGUUUGUCCGGGAUUUAUUGGGACGUAAAGAGCGUGUAGGCGGCCUUACAGGUCAGCUGAUGAAAACUCGAGGCUCAACCUCGAGACGUCGGUUGAAACCGUAUGGCUAGAGUCCGGAAGAGGAGAGUGGAAUUCCCGGUGUAGCGGUGAAAUGCGCAGAUAUCGGGAAGAACACCCGUGGCGAAGGCGGCUCUCUGGGACGGUACUGACGCUGAGACGCGAAAGCGUGGGGAGCGAACAGG
rnacentral:rRNA from 1 species